AUUGAACGCUGGCGGCAUGCUUUACACAUGCAAGUCGAACGGCAGCGCGGGCUUCGGCCUGGCGGCGAGUGGCGAACGGGUGAGUAAUACAUCGGAACGUGCCCAGUAGUGGGGGAUAGCUCGUCGAAAGCCGGAUUAAUAUCGCAUACGACCUGAGGGGGAAAGCGGGGGAUCUUCGGACCUCGCGCUAUUGGAGCGGCCGAUGGCCGAUUAGCUAGUUGGUGGGGUAAAGGCCUACCAAGGCGACGUUCUGUAGCUGGUCGGAGAGGAGGACCAGCCACACGGGGAGUGAGACACGGCCCAGACGCCUACGGGAGGCAGCAGUGGGGAAUGUUGGACAGUGGGCGAGAGCCUGAUACAGCAAGGCCGCGUGUGUGAUGAAGGCCUUCGGGUUGUAAAGCACUUUUGAGGGGAGUGAAAAGGACUGUGCCAAGACGACGGUUGGAUGACGGUACCCGGAGAAUAAGCACCGGCUAACUACGUG
rnacentral:rRNA from 1 species